GUCCUGGUGGUCUAGUGGUUAAGAUUUGGCGCUCUCACUGCCAGAGCCCAGGUUCAUUUCCUGGUCAGGGAA
rnacentral:tRNA from 1 species